GAGGGCACCACCUAGAGGGUGGGCGGAGUAUCGCAGCGGAGGGAUUUCCGGUUGGGGCCCUGGCGGAAGAGGCCGGUGGUACAGAGUGAGCAGAACACUGACCCCCAGCGCGGGCCAGGGUCCAGACAGAGUCUUGCUAAAUUGUCCACCCUGGACUUGAACCUCAACCCUCCUGUUUCGGCCUCCAGAGUAGCUGAGAUUACAGGCGUGUACCGCCAUGCCCGGCCCACUGAGUCACGAGUGAGGACCGAGUGAGGACGUCGGAAGCCAGUCAGCUUUCCAUGGAGGGCGGCAGGUCCCCGAUGCAGGGACAUCUGCAGAGAGCCUGUCUCCAACUUAGCUUCUGGAUGGCUUUGGGCUGAGUAGGGCAAAACACUCUGCCACCCUCUGUGAGAGCAAAUGUACCACUUGUGUCUUCAAAAUCUGCUCAUUCGCUCAUCUUUUCGUGCUACUGGGGAUGGAGCCCAAGGCUUGAAUACGCUAGACAAGUGCUCACCACUGAGCUACUCCACCGGCCCUUCCUGUCUUAUUUUUCAUUGAGAGAACCACCGUGUUUUACCCUUUUAUUCAUCAAUGGAUAAUCUUAAAUAAUUUUAAUUACCUGACAUUUAAGUAAAAUUACAGUUCAAUUUUGGUAUCACAUAGAUCUAUAGUGCUCUGAGUUUUGAUGCACUAAUUUUCAGCGUUUCGUCGUUUUCUGCUUGGAGCUGCACCUCCGUGGGGUGCGGAAGGGUGAAGAGGAUGCCUCUCUUUUGGUGUCCGGAGUCAGACCGCAAAGGCUGGAGGGAUGGGUGGAGAGGGUAUCGGUGGGGUCACAGCCGAGGAAUCCGAGGCACUGCGGGGUGGUGGGGUGGUUCCGGGCACAGAGCUGACACAGCCCCAGGCGGGCCUCACACCCACAAGAGGUGACUGAGCCCAGGGCGAGGGAUGGAGACUCAAAGCUGGGUGCAGGACUUUCUAAAGAAAGGCUCUCAGUCACCACAUCGCAGACGCUGCUCUCUGCCUUUUCCCCUUGGCCUGGUGUAGACGGAGAAGGUUCCCCAAAGGCCUCCUGGGCCCAGAGGUGGGGCUUUUGGAAGAGGAUUAAAUGAGGUCAAAAUGUCUGACUUCCGGCUGGGAGGUGGGGCCUGGGUGGAAGGGGCGUGGCCUGGGGGCGGGGUCUAGAAGGGUCGGUCUUCCCACCUGGCUCCUCUCUUCUCCCUCUGCUUCCUGUAUGCCAUACCCAGAGCAGCUCUCUUCCGCAAGACCCUUCCACCACCCUGCCCUGCUGUGGAGGCAGCCAACCCUGAAAUGAAAAUAUGAACCUUUAAGUUGUGAGAGUCAGAUAUUUUUUCCCAGCAACAAGAUAGUGACUAAGACACCCACUGAGUUAAAUGUGAGAGUUUUGGCGUGUUCAAGGUUAACUUUUGUACAGAAAAUGUAAUUCAGAAAUUUACUUUAAAGAAGCUUUUAAAAGUCGCCUUCAUUUUAUCAAAGCUGCAAAUUUGAAUAACUAAUUCUUUAUAUUUCAGUUUUGCUUAUAAGAUUGCUACAUUGUAGCACUUCCUUUUACCAAGCCUUUGAUUAGCAUAAGUAAAUGUUAAACACCUUUGGCUAUUUUAAGCUGCUUGUAUGAAUUUAGCAUGGUUGAUUUUCUUCAAGAACACUUCAGUGAUUUGAUUAGUAAGCCAAAGUUUCCCACUUACUCAAUUAUUUAAGAUAUUAACUUUAUAAGCAGAGAUUCUUAAAUUCUUUUAGAUUUGCCAGUAUUGCAAAAAAUUUAGUAACAUGUCUCUGUAACAUCCCAAGUCUAAAUCAAUUAGUCAAUUUCAAAUAACUGAUAAAAUCAGACAGGCCUUUUGUUGUAAUGAUCCAAAUGAUGAAUAUUUUUAAAACUCCAAAUAUUCCUAAACUGUUUAACUUGAAAAUAGUAAGACUACUGGUUUGAUGCCUUAAAAUUUCUGUGUGUGAUUCUGAGUGUCUGUGGGGUUCAGAAGACCUGUGGAGUGACCCCCUAAAGGGAGUGGGGAGGGUACUGGCGUGUCCCCAGACUGCAGCUACACUGACCGUCUGUACUGGGCAGGCGGCCACAUGGAUUGUUUUUGACCCACGUUUGAAUAUGCUGUGCCCAUUCCUGUUGGGUAAAAGGGUGGUUUUGUACACGAAUCCCUUAUUUUAAAGUUCUAAUGUUUUCUAAAGUUUUCACAACCCAGUAAUUUAAGCUGUGCCUAACUGAUUUUUCCAUCCCCUCUUGGUGUUUUUGUUUUGUUUUUGGUAUUGGGAGUUGAACUCGAGACCUUGAACUCGUGAGGCA